rnacentral:lncRNA from 1 species
GGAAAUCAACUUCUUUGCCAGGGAAAUUCAUCAUCCCCCAGACUGUUUAAGAGACUUCAGGAGAAGCCUGUUCAUUCAUAUCUACACUGAUCUCUUGUCUGCAAAGUCCCUUCCCUGUGCUCAGUCCUGGGAAAAGAAGCAGAGACAGCUCCAUUCCCCGAGAGGAGAUAGAGGGUCAUCAGACUUGGAAGCCCUGAGUAGCUCCUGUGGUUGCACAACAGGACCUCAGGCACUGGGGCUGAAGCCCAAGCCUCCUGCCUCACUUCCCUCUGCUCCAGCACAUGGAGAACAUCCCGGAAGAUCAGUGUUUAAAGAUAGAAUCCAGACCACUUGCCUCGACCCUUGUUAGAAGUGAUAUAAACAAGCCUAGGAUGUUCCGGGGAGGAGCAAGGU